UACGUAGGGGGCAAGCGUUGUCCGGAUUCAUUGGGCGUAAAGAGCGUGUAGGCGGCCAGGUAGGUCGGUUGUGAAAACUGGAGGCUCAAUCUUCAGAGGUCGACCGAAACCAUCUGGCUAGAGUCCGGGAGAGGAGAGUGGAAUUCCUGGUGUAGCGGUGAAAUGCGCAGAUAUCAGGAGGAACACCGGUGGCGAAGGCGGGUCUCUGGGCAAUAACUGACGCUGAGGAGCGAAAGCGUGGGGAGCGAACAGGAAUUAGAUACCCGUUGUAGCCAUCGA
rnacentral:rRNA from 1 species